GGCUUUGUUUGCGCAGGAUAGGUGGGAGGCGUUGAAGAUUUUCUUGCGGGGAGAUUGGAGCCGUUGGUGAGAUACCACUCUAACAAUGCUAGGAUUCUAACCCUAUACCGUUAUCCGGUUAGGGGACAGUUUCAGGUGGUCAGUUUGACUGGGGCGGUCGCCUCCCAAAAGGUAACGGAGGCGUGCAAAGGUUUCCUCAGGCUGGUCGGAAAUCAGUCGUAGAGUGCAAAGGCAUAAGGAAGCUUGAUUGUGAGACCUACAAGUCGAACAAAGACGAAAGUCGGCCUUAGUGAUCCGACGGUUCCGAGUGGAAGGGCCGUCGCUCAACGGAUAAAAGUUACUCUAGGGAUAACAGGCUGA
rnacentral:rRNA from 1 species